rnacentral:rRNA from 1 species
UACAGAGGUCUCAAGCGUUGUUCGGAUUCAUUGGGCGUAAAGCGCGUGUAGGCGGUUCGGUAAGUCGGCUGUGAAAGUCCAGGGCUCAACCCUGGGAUGCCGGUCGAUACUGCCGGACUAGAGUUCGGAAGAGGCGAGUGGAAUUCCCGGUGUAGCGGUGAAAUGCGCAGAUAUCGGGAGGAACACCAAUGGCGAAGGCAGCUCGCUGGGACGUUACUGACACUGAGGCGCGAAAGCGUGGGGAGCGAACAGG